rnacentral:rRNA from 1 species
GACGAACGCUGGCGGCGUGCUUAACACAUGCAAGUCGAACGGAAAGGCCCUGCUUUUGUGGGGUUCUCGAGUGGCGAACGGGUGAGUAACACGUGAGUAACCUGCCCUUGACUUUGGGAUAACUUCAGGGAACUGGGGCUAAUACCGGAUAGGAGCUCCUGCUGCAUGGUGGGGGUUGGAAAGUUUCGGCGGUUGGGGAUGGACUCGCGGGUUAUCAGCUUGUUGGUGGGGUAGUGGCUUACCAAGGCUUUGACGGGUAGCCGGCAUGGGAGGGUGACCGGCGACAUUGGUACUGAGAGACGGCGCAGAAUCGUACGGGAGGCAGUAGUGGGGAAUAUGGCAGAAUGGGCGGGAGUCUGAGGCAGCAGCGCCGCGUGCGGGAUGACGGCUUUUGGGGGGUAAACCGCUUUCGACUGUGACGAAGAGUGAGUGACGGUAAUGGGUAAAGAAGCACCGGCUAACUACGUG